UUCUAAUCUCAUGAGGUAAUUUGCAA
rnacentral:piRNA from 2 species